ensembl:lncRNA
GUGAAGUUAAUCCUGAAGUCUCUGCCUGCAGGGCCCUGUUGUUCCAGAGCUGGGGUCAGCCUACAGGCCAUGUGACACGUGGGAUCUCAGUUCACCAACCAGGGAAUGAAGCUGCAGCCCCUACACUGGAAGCACCAGAGAUGUCCUGAUAUGUUGCAUUUCUGGAUCAAGCCACUUCUUAUUACUUAGAGCAAGUGCAUCGGGGCUGGCUGGUAUCCAUGUCCUAUUCACUGGGGAACCAAGGCUAACAGAGCAGCCCCUAACUGGAACAUUGCUGACCUAAACAUGGCAUAGGGAAAAAAGGAAGAUGGAGCUUCUGCUAUGACAGAGCUUCACACCCGUCAUGUUUCAUUGGCCAGUGCAAGUCACAGAGGCACAGAGUGUUCCAGAUAGAAGAUGCUCCUGGAUUCAGCCUUGGUCUGGAAACAAGAGGAUGUGCACCAAAGCCAC